GCAGUCGAGCGGAACGAUCCUAGCUUGCUAGGAGGCGUCGAGCGGCGGACGGGUGAGUAACGCGUGAGAAUCUACCCAUGAGUGGGGGACAACCCGGGGAAACUCGGGCUAAUACCGCAUACGCCCUACGGGGUAAAGCAGGGGACCUUCGGGCCUUGCGCUGAUGGAUGAGCUCGCGUCGGAUUAGCUUGUUGGUGAGGUAAAGGCUCACCAAGGCGACGAUCCGUAGCUGGUCUGAGAGGAUGAUCAGCCACACCGGGACUGAGACACGGCCCGGACUCCUACGGGAGGCAGCAGUGGGGAAUCUUGGACAAUGGGGGCAACCCUGAUCCAGCCAUGCCGCGUGUGUGAAGAAGGCCUUCGGGUUGUAAAGCACUUUCAGCAGGGAGGAAGGCUUACCCCUAAUACGGGUGAGUACUUGACGUUACCUGCAGAAGAAGCACCGGCUAAUUUCGUGCCAGCAGCCGCGGUAAUACGAAAGGUGCAAGCGUUAAUCGGAAUUACUGGGCGUAAAGCGCGCGUAGGCGGUGUGUUAAGUCGGAUGUGAAAGCCCAGGGCUCAACCUUGGAAUUGCAUCCGAUACUGGCACGCUAGAGUGCAGUAGAGGGAGGUGGAAUUUCCGGUGUAGCGGUGAAAUGCGUAGAGAUCGGAAGGAACACCAGUGGCGAAGGCGGUCUCCUGGACUGACACUGACGCUGAGGUGCGAAAGCGUGGGGAGCAAACAGGA
rnacentral:rRNA from 1 species